CCUACGGGAGGCAGCAGUGAGGAAUAUUGGUCAAUGGACGAGAGUCUGAACCAGCCAAGUAGCGUGAAGGAUGACUGCCCUAUGUGUUGUAAACUUCUUUUAUCUGGGAAUAAAAUGUUCCACGUGUGGGAUUUUGUAUGUACCAUAUGAAUAAGGAUCGGCUAACUCCGUGCCAGCAGCCGCGGUAAUACGGAGGAUCCGAGCGUUAUCCGGAUUUAGUGGGUUUAAAGGGAGCGUAGGUGGAUUGUUAAGUCAGUUGUGAAAGUUUGCGGCUCAACCGUAAAAUUGCAGUUGAAACUGGCAGUCUUGAGUACAGUAGAGGUGGGCGGAAUUCGUGGUGUAGCGGUGAAAUGCUUAGAUAUCACGAAGAACUCCGAUUGCGAAGGCAGCUCACUGGACUGCAACUGACACUGAGGCUCGAAAGUGUGGGUAUCAAACAGGAUUAGAUACCCGAGUAGUC
rnacentral:rRNA from 1 species